GGAGAGGUGACCCAGUGACUGAAGGCAGUAGGACUCAACCUGAGAGGGGAGGAUAUUGUUCAACAUGAAAAUGAAAGAACUGUUUGUGCAAAAGUAUUUUUAGAUCCUUGAAUUCCUGCCAGCUGAAGGGGCACCAAGUGAAUCUCUAUCAUUCUAUCAUUAUAACAAAUAAUGUCACGGUUUUCUGCAAUGAAUAAUUAUUUUUGGAUAUUCCUUCUUGCUUCCCAACUGCAUAAAGCCAAGGAUGAGUUCAGAUUGAUGUUUUAUAGAAUUAUCUCUUUAUUUUUGACAACAUUAGAUUCCAAGAAAAACGUUUUCAAAAAAAAAAAAAAACGUGACCAUAAAUGAGAUCUACAUUAUAAAGAGCUAUACAAUUAAAUCAUUUAUGUCAACAAAAGAUAGAAAUUUAAACUGAAUAUGGUUAACUUAUGGAUCUCUCUUUCUCUAACAGGAAGCGGUGAAGCUAACCAAAAGAUUUUGGCCAAAAGCAUUACUCCAAAGGAAUAUGGACAAGAAGAAUGAGAUUGUUAAACAUGGGACAGCUCACUCUGUGAAUGGAACUGAGGUGGAGGACAGUGCUGCUGUUUUCAAUGGACAGCUUUACAGAAAGUCACCUUUCCUGCUCCAGAGAUGUCACAGAGCAUCCAGCGUUAUGGAUCUAACAGAAGUGCAAUCUUAUGAACUCCUCAGACUGGAGGAUAUUUGUCACACUAAACACUCGAUUUCAUUUGAACUACAAAUUCCGUCAACGUGGGUUCAUGGAAGAGUAACAGAUGCUGAGAGAAAGCUAGACUGGUGGCCUCCUCUUGCAGUUUGCAGCCGUUGAUUGGCUACUUUCACACUUUUGACUUUGAGCUUAUUGUUCAGCCAACAGAAAAUAUGACUAAUGUGGACAUAGAAGUCAGUAUUUGGAGCUGAAUGUGGAGCUCAAGUUGAAACUGGAAACGUGGAGAACUGGAUUUCUACACUGGGAUGAUAAUUGGAAACUGAAGAGAGCAGCUCAAGCCUCAAUGCCAAACAUUACUGUUAUCCUAAAAUGUCUGAAAAUCUAACAUUAGCUAACACUGGAGUAGCCAUACACUGAUCAUACUACACUGACUUUAGAGAAGUGCUCUACCAUGUACUGUAGCUAAAUGUACUGGAAAAUAUCGAUAACCUGCUCAUUUUGUACUACUGCCAGAUCAAAAUGGAAUGGAAUAACAACUAAAUGCCUGCUUAGAUAACACGCUAUGAAUAUCCACAUUAAAGCAAGUCUUAAAAGACCUGGCUUUUAGAGAUUGCUGUGAGCCAGUUAUAGCCAACACUGUAUUGUAUAAAUGCUUUUAGAAAAUGAUUCCCAGGGGAAAAAGAAAAACUUUAUUUCUUAACUUAUUUAAAAAAAGGAGGAUGUGAAGUCCUCUGGUUCUCAAGUGUAAUUAUUGUUGCCGACAUGUUCCAGAUUAUAAUUAUUGGUUGUACAACUGUUACUGUAAUGAAUGUUAUUUUUAAUAUAAAAUAAAAAUGUUCAAGG
ensembl:lncRNA